GACGAACCGUGCGAACGUUGUUCGGAUUCACUGGGCGUAAAGGGUGCGUAGGCGGGUCUUUAAGUCAGGGGUGAAAUCCUGGAGCUCAACUCCAGAACUGCCUUUGAUACUGAAGAUCUUGAGUUCGGGAGAGGUGAGUGGAACUGCGAGUGUAGAGGUGAAAUUCGUAGAUAUUCGCAAGAACACCAGUGGCGAAGGCGGCUCACUGGCCCGAUACUGACGCUGAGGCACGAAAGCGUGGGGAGCAAACAGG
rnacentral:rRNA from 1 species